rnacentral:misc_RNA from 1 species
GAUGAAGAACGCAUCGAAAUGCGAUAAGUAAUGUGAAUUGCAGAAUUCAGUGAAUCAUCGAAUCUUUGAACGCACAUUGCGCCCGCCAGUAUUCUGGCGGGCAUGCCUGUUCGAGCGUCAUUUCAACCAUCAAGCCCCCGGCUUGUGUUGGGGACCUGCGGCUGCCGCAGGCCCUGAAAAGCAGUGGCGGGCUCGCUGUCACACCGAGCGUAGUAGCAUACAUCUCGCUCUGGGCGUGCUGCGGGUUCCGGCCGUUAAACCACCUUCAUAACCCAAGGUUGACCUCGGAUCAGGUAGGAAGACCCGCUGAACUUAAGCAUAUCGAUAAGCGGAGGA